rnacentral:rRNA from 1 species
GGUCACUGCUAUUGGGAUCCGACUAAGCCAUGCGAGUCGAGAGGGUUCGGCCCUCGGCAGACUGCUCAGUAACACGUGGAUAAUCUGCCCUUAGGUGGAGCAUAAUCUCGGGAAACUGAGGAUAAUACUCCAUAGAUCUAAGAUGCUGGAAUGCACUUAGGUUCAAAGUUCCGACGCCUAAGGAUGGGUCUGCGGACUAUCAGGUUGUAGUCAGGGUAAAGACCUGACUAGCCUACAACGGAUACGGGUUGUGAGAGCAAUAACCCGGAGACGAUAUCUGAGACACGAUAUCGGGCCCUACGGGGCGCAGCAGGCGCGAAACCUUCACAAUGUGCGAAAGCGCGAUGAGGGGAUCCCAAGUGCUUGCACUUAAGUGUAAGCUGUUUCUUUGUUUAAAAUGCAGAGAGAGGAAGGGCUGGGUAAGACGGGUGCCAGCCGCCGCGGUAAUACCUGCAGCUCAAGUGGUGGCCGCUAUUAUUGGGCCUAAAACGUUCGUAGCCGGCUGAGUAAAUGCUUGGGUAAAUCGUGCCGCUUAACGGUACGAAUUCCGGGUAGACUGCUCAGCUUGAGACCGGGAGAAGCUAGAGGUACUCCUGGGGUAGAGGUGAAAUUCUGUAAUCCUGGGGGGACCACCAGUGGCGAAGGCGUCUAGCUAGAACGGGUCUGACGGUGAGGGACGAAACCCUGGGGCGCAAACCGGAUUAGAUACCCGGGUAGUCCAGGGCGCAAACGCUGCUUGCUUGAUGUUAGCUGGGCUCCGAGCUCAGCUAGUGUCGGAGAGAAGUUGUUAAGCAAGCUGCCUGGGAAGUACGAUCGCAAGAUUGAAACUUAAAGGAAUUGGCGGGGGAGCACAGCAACCGGUGGAGCGUGCGGUUU